rnacentral:rRNA from 1 species
AGGUGGUGCAUGGCCGUCGUCAGUUCGUACCGUAAGGCGUUCUCUUAAGUGAGAUAACGAACGAGACCCUCACCGCUAAUUGCUAGUGUUCUCUCCGGAGGGCACGCACAUUAACGGGACCGCUGUCGCUAAGACAGAGGAAGGAGAGGUCAACGGUAGGUCCGUAUGCCCCGAAUCUCCUGGGCUACACGCGCGCUACAAAGGUUGGGACAAUGGGCUCCGACAUCGAAAGGUGAAGGCAAUCUCGAAACCCAAUCGUAGUUCGGAUUGAGGGUUGUAACUCACCCUCAUGAAGCUGGAUUCCGUAGUAAUCGCGGAUCAACAAUCCGCGGUGAAUAUGCCCCUGCUCCUUGCACACACCGCCCGUCAAACCACCCGAGUUGGGUUUCAGUAAGGAUAUCUCAUUUUGGGGUCUUCGAACUGAGAUUCAGCAAGGAGGGUUAAGUCGUAACAAGGUAUCUGUA